rnacentral:lncRNA from 1 species
AUCGAACCCGAAGCCUCAUGGUUCCUAGUUGGAUUCGUUAACCACUGAGCCACGACAGAAACUCCGUCAGAUGGCCUCUUGCCUUGGCUGACAUGUAGCCCGCCUUCCUGUUCUUCCCCAAGCCCUGCCUCUAGGGGCAUAUGCUCCCCUGCAGGACUUUUGCCCCUCUUGGUCCCAGCAGGACCUGGAGGCCAGGAGAGGCGUGAGUGGCAUAGGAGGAUGAAGGAAGCUGAGGAUGGUUGCUUCUCCGCUCUGACUUCUCAUCCGUAAAAGGAGUUCCAUUUGCUGUGCAACGAGUGAUGGCUGAGCAUGCUGCAGGUGCCAGGCGAAGUUUCCUCUCCUCUCGGCGCUUACUCCCAGGUGUGGGAAGGUGGUAAAGGAUGAGAGCACGAGGGAGAAAGCAAGCAAGGCAGAGGUCAGGGUGCGCUAGGAGGAAGGGGUGCCAGGGAGAAGAUUAAGGAGGAACGGACUCCCUGAGGUGGGGUGGGGAAGGUGGCUUUAUUCUUCAGGGGGUAAGAGAAGGCCGCCCUGCUAACAUUUGAACUGAGCCCUGAACGAAAUGGGGAGUGAGCUGUGUGGAUAGUUGGGAAGCGUGUUCUAAGCAGGAGGAAUAGCAGGUGCCAAGGCCCUGAAGGAGUGUCCAUAUGUUCAAGAUGUAGCAAGGAGGUCUUGGUAGAAACUGAGGUCAGAGAAGUCAUAGAGGGCCAGGCCACUGAGGGCCUUGUCAUCUGCCAUAAAUACUCUGAGCCAGAUGGGACUGAUGGAGCCUGACUUAAGCUGUAGGAGGAUCAUGCUGACUGCUAUAGUGAGAAUAGCCUCAGGGGAGCCAGGGUGAAGCCUUGGUCCAAAUAAAGAGCCUUCUCCCCUGGAAGCUUUUCCUUAUAACCAACCUUUGAGUACCCCUAAGAUGGUUUUAGCUCUUUUUUUUUUUUUUUUUUUUUAAUUUUUUUUUUUUU